rnacentral:lncRNA from 1 species
GUGAACCCUCCUUUAAUAGUCAUAUUUCAUUAAUAUACAGGGUCCAUUUUGACACAAGACAACAAUCCAGACUAAGAAUUUACCAAAGGUCAGAUCAUAAUGAAUACGGGUGUUAUAUGGACAGAGUCGAACUGAUCUCAGAUCAGCACUCAUACUCUGAUGGCGAAUUCUCUCUCUCCGAUCAUCCUUUCCAUAAUUUCAGAAUGUCACCAGGUGUGGAGGUGUAACCAGGGUGUAGUGAUGUAGUAAAUUAAUGUCACCAGGUGUGGAGGUGUAACCAGGGUGUAGUGAUGUAGUAAAUUAAUGUCAUCAGGUGUGGAGGUGUAACCAGGGUGUAGUGAUGUAGUAAAUUAAUGUCAUCAGGUGUGGAGGUGUAACCAGGGUGUAGUGAUGUAGUAAAUUAAUGUCACCAGGUGUGGAGGUGUAACCAGGGUGUAUUGAUGUAGUAAAUUAAUGUCACCAGGUGUGGAGGUGUAACCAGGGUGUAGUGAUGUAGUAAAUUAAUGUCACCAGGUGUGGAGGUGUAACCAGGGUGUAGUGAUGUAGUAAAUUAAUGUCACCAGGUGUGGAGGUGUAACCAGGGUGUAGUGAUGUAGUAAAUUAAUGUCACCAGGUGUGGAGGUGUAACCAGGGUGUAGUGCUGCUAGAGGUUUAAUUAAUAAAAUACUAUGUGAUCUUAACUCACCUGUCCAUCGUCUGCUGUGUCCCUUGUGUCAGAGGUGGAUUUGGAGGCCUUCCUGUUUUACACGUCAACAAAUGAAUGAAUGAAUGAAUGAAUAAUCAAGUUAAUAAAUUAAAAUGAUAAUGUGAAAUGACGGUCUUAGAAAGAUUCUCACCUGAACCACAUGAAGACAGAGAGACGGAGUAUGAUAAUCUGUGAUUCCUUCAGCUGAAGUCAUAACUGAGGUCUGUUUCUCUAAAGGUUCAACAAAAAGGUGGAUGAUAUGAAUACACAUGUUAUCAUAUAGUGGAGCUUGAAAUGAAAUAUCCUUGUAUUUGAAUCUCACAUUUUUUACCUGUACUUGUUGACUUUCUCUCAGAUAUGUGAUUCUCAGGGUGGAG